UACGUAGGGGGCAAGCGUUGUCCGGAUUUAUUGGGCGUAAAGAGCGUGUAGGCGGCUAGGUAGGUCCGUUGUGAAAACUCGAGGCUCAACCUCGAGACGUCGAUGGAAACCAUCUAGCUAGAGUCCGGAAGAGGAGAGUGGAAUUCCUGGUGUAGCGGUGAAAUGCGCAGAUAUCAGGAAGAACACCAGUGGCGAAGGCGGUUCUCUGGGCCUUACCUGACGCUGAGGAGCGAAAGCGUGGGGAGCAAACAGG
rnacentral:rRNA from 1 species